UACGGAGGGUGCGAGCGUUGUCCGGAAUCACUGGGCGUAAAGGGCGCGUAGGCGGCCGAGCAAGGUCGUGGUGAAAGCCCGGGGCUCAACCCCGGGUCGGCCAUGGCAACUACUCGGCUCGAGCACCGUAGAGGCGGGCGGAAUUCCGGGUGUAGCGGUGGAAUGCGUAGAGAUCCGGAAGAACACCGGUGGCGAAGGCGGCCCGCUGGGCGGUUAUGCUGACGCUGAGGCGCGACAGCGUGGGGAGCAAACAGGAUUAGAUACCCCCGUAGUCC
rnacentral:rRNA from 1 species